CUCUGAUGGUAGAAAGGAUGGUAUUAAAGGUUCUAGAUACUACGGACUCCACUCUUCUGAAGACUUAGCAGGGGGUGACUUCAAGAUAGUCAAGGGGUGGAAGGCAGUGAGGUGAGCUAAGGCAGCUUGGAGCUGGUGGAUGGAACUGACCUAAGGAGGCUUUGAGGUGGCAGUAGAUGGAGCUGCACUGAGGCAGGUGAGGGCACUUGGGCAGCAGCCUGCCUAAGGGAGUCUGGGGUAGGCCUCCCUACCCAGCAAUUAAAGCUGAAAUCACUUCAGCUGGGGCAGGUAGUAGAAGCCUUUGACAUAACUUCCUUUAGGAGCUGGAAAAUGACCUGGCAGAAUCCUUGAAUUCUACCAGCCCUGGACAACAAACUAGUUUUUGCAAUGAAAAGUCUGGGAAAUCUUUAAUAUGCAGACAAGCAGCUGCAGACAGCCACUGAAGGAAGAGACUGGUCCAGCCACGUUCAGGGAUGGCUGCAAAGCACAGUUGUGCUCAGCUGCAUCAAAGAAUCCAAAUGACAUUCUGUGAAUGCAGCAGGUUUUGUGAUGCUGGUUACUAGAAGUGUCCAGCAUUUACUGCUCUGCAAUUCAUUAACACUGGAUGCAUCAGAGUGUGGAAAUGCAAUUUGGAAAGAAGAUGUAUUUGAAACACAUUGAAGUACUGCAGUGGUUUAUUAAAAUAUAGAUUGUUCCUUCAUUUUAAAGCCUCUCUGGUAUAAAGGCUGUUUUUCUCCAGCUCCAUGACUGCCACACGCACCAGCCUCCUUAAAAUCAAUCUGAUGGAAAGAGAGAGAAGAGAAGCAUAAUGAUUUAUUAAUAAUAGUAAAGCAUCUACUACGGA